CAAGUCGGACGGGAUUCAGGUUAGUAGCUUGCUACAAAUUUGAUGAGAGUGGCGCACGGGUGCGUAACGCGUGAGCAACCUACCCAUAUCAGGGGGAUAGCCUCUCGAAAGAGAGAUUAACACCGCAUAACAUCAUUUACCGGCAUCGGUUGAUGAUCAAAUAUUUAUAGGAUAUGGAUGGGCUCGCGUGACAUUAGCUAGUUGGAGGGGUAACGGCCCACCAAGGCUACGAUGUCUAGGGGCUCUGAGAGGAGAAUCCCCCACACUGGUACUGAGACACGGACCAGACUCCUACGGGAGGCAGCAGUAAGGAAUAUUGGUCAAUGGAGGGAACUCUGAACCAGCCAUGCCGCGUGCAGGAUGACUGCCCUAUGGGUUGUAAACUGCUUUUGUCAGGGAAUAAACCUUUCCACGUGUGGGAAGCUGAAUGUACCUGAAGAAUAAGGAUCGGCUAACUCCGUGCCAGCAGCCGCGGUAAUACGGAGGAUCCAAGCGUUAUCCGGAUUUAUUGGGUUUAAAGGGUGCGUAGGCGGUCCUAUAAGUCAGUGGUGAAAGACGGCAGCUUAACUGUCGCAGUGCCUUUGAUACUGUAGGACUUGAAUCUAUUUGAAGUGGGCGGAAUAAGACAAGUAGCGGUGAAAUGCAUAGAUAUGUCUUAGAACUCCGAUUGCGAAGGCAGCUCACUAAGUUAGUAUUGACGCUGAUG
rnacentral:rRNA from 1 species